CCUACGGGAGGCAGCAGUGGGGAAUAUUGCACAAUGGGGGAAACCCUGAUGCAGCGACGCCGCGUGAGUGAAGAAGUAUUUCGGUAUGUAAAGCUCUAUCAGCAGGGAAGAAAAUGACGGUACCUGACUAAGAAGCCCCGGCUAACUACGUGCCAGCAGCCGCGGUAAUACGUAGGGGGCAAGCGUUAUCCGGAUUUACUGGGUGUAAAGGGAGCGUAGACGGCAGCAUAAGUCUGGAGUGAAAUGCCGGGGCUUAACCCCGGAACUGCUUUGGAAACUGUGCAGCUAGAGUGCAGGAGGGGUAAGCGGAAUUCCUGGUGUAGCGGUGAAAUGCGUAGAUAUUAGGAGGAACACCAGUGGCGAAGGCGGCUUGCUGGACUGUAACUGACGUUGAGGCUCGAAAGCGUGGGGAGCAAACAGGAUUAGAUACCCGUGUAGUC
rnacentral:rRNA from 1 species